GCUCGGUAGUCGAACCAUUUUGGCUUCAUGCGCCACUGAGCAACCUUCAUAAUACUGAACGGGAGCCCGCCUCCAACGCUGUCUCCAGUACUCUUUAUACAUCAAUGUACGUAGCAAGAAGUUCAAAAUAGUUAAGAAUGCCCUCUUGUGUUGCCUUUAACUGCGUGAAGCGAACAGAUGGGAGAGGAUCCAAGGUUUCUUUGUUCUGUUUUCCACACCAUGAUAAAGCAAGGAUGCGUCGGUGGGUCAGCAACAUAAACCGCAAGAAUUGGAAGCCAUCACCGAACUCACGCAUAUGCGCACUACAUUUCACCGAGGAGUGUUUUCACACUGGCCGUGGGAGAACAAAACUAAAUUCAACUGCUGUCCCAACUAUUUUUGCCUUCCCCGGUGUCAACACAACAUUCAAGACACAGGUGGUAAGUAUGCACCAAGAGGUAAGUGACACUGUUUACUUCGAUCACCCGUACUGCUGCACGGCUGUGAGUAGUCCUUCUACCUCUGGAGGAGUCACAACAUCGACAGAGGUCACCAAUGCAGUGGACUUAAAGUACUGCAGCACGGCUGUGACUACAAAACAAAAGGGCGGCAGUUUCAGAGAAGUGUUAGAUGGUCAUGAGUCCACAGCCCAUCACAAUGUGACACUAGAACAACAUACUGCAGUGAGUAAUACUAUUUCAGCCACUGCUGAAUCUCCCCAUACGCAAUUUACAUGGGCUAAAUUACAUAGUAAAAUUCAGAAAGUGGAAAAACAAUUGGUCACCUGCCGCAAAUGUCUAAAAUUUGAAAAACAGAAGACCAGACGAUUGAAAAAGAGAAUUUUCUGUUUAACUGAAGUUAUCCAAGACCUGAAGCAGAAAAUGAAAAACAUGAGAAAAGAUAAACAGAUAACGACUUCAGUUCCUCGUCCCAAAGGGCAGUCUCACAGCAAGGUCAAGCAGUGAAAAUAUUCUAAAUAUAGUGUACACUUAAACUGACAUUUACUUUUUUUAAGUGGGUCUUUUUUUUAGGUUGUUAAAAUAUGUUUUGUUGCUGUCCCCGUCCACAGCAGUACAUUAUUUAGCUUUCGUGCUGGUACUUCUGUCUGUUUCUCCAAAGUAUGGACGUGCCAACUGCUAUCUACUGUAGGUAACACACUGUCUAUAGAGAAGUACCUCAUGCAACUCCACUUUAAACAAUCAAAACUAUUCCUUUAACCGGGUGACACAUCUUAAUCAGGAUUGGAAAAAUGAAGUAAAUGAAAUCGUGCUGUGCCCAUGGAGGUAUAAUAAGAGGUUGUGUCGUGUGCCUUUGCCCCGCUAGUUAGUAAAUAGCCCACAACUAAUACUACGUUAAAUUCUGUUUAUGUUGUGCUACUAGCUGCAACUAAAACAACUGUAGGGGGAACUUUAUCAUGGCAAACUAAGAAUUUAAAAAAGGCACACCCUCUGCCUAAUCAUAAUGGUCAGCAUUUGUCAAUUUGGUCUCCUCAUAUCCUCUUAGCUGUCUCACACACUUUAAACCUGGUGAUCUGCAAGUCAUUUUGCAGACAGACUGAUAAGACUCUGACACACACAGGAACAAACUAGCGUACACUUACUACUCCCUUUCAGUUGAUUACAUUCAAACCUACCUACUCCAAAUUGCAAUUACUAGUGACUUUGAAUCCAAAUACAGUAUUGCCACAAAUUAAACAUUAUAAUCUACCAUAACAAACAAAAGUAGUCUUUCACAUCAGGGACCCAGGCCCGGAUCCAAGUGCACUUUACUCUGACGGUCUUGAGGACGGUUCAUGUGUACUCUGGUACGGUUCACAUCAGAUGUGAAAACCAACAGUACUAAAAAGUUACAUUGACCUUGUCUCCAAACUAUAAACAAUAUUGGGCAUAAUGCAGUCGACUUAUUUGUGUACGCUUGGGAUCUUGCAAUUUUGGCACACGUUUCUACACCGUAGCGACAACAUAAAUAAAUGUUGAUAGAUAAUAACACAAAGGCUUCAUCCUUUGUGUGACUUGGAGUUUGGAGACCUUAUCUGAAAACCAAUCCAAUCUAUUCUCAUAUCCAAUUAAUUGAAAGCCUUCACAAUUGGCUGCGGUAAUUACGCUGCACAAAGGUGAUACUGAUUCUGUUUCUAAAAGUAACAUGUUAGCUAACUAUGCUACUAAACAAGCCACACUUAACUCAGUCUUUCCUCCAUGAGAUAGCCCAGUUAGGAAAUGGUCCCACACAUGCAAGAAAAAGGGGAAAGAAUUGUGCAAUCGGAACUAGAGCUGCAACGAUUAGUCAACUAAUUGAUUUUUCGAUUGACCGAAAAAGAAUCGGCAACGACUUCGAUAAUCGAUUGAUCGUUAAAGCAAUUUUUCAUCCAGAAAUUGCAGAACAAAACAGAUAUAGAAAGGCUGAAAACAGCAUUUUCUGCCAUAUUACAUGUGAUUAUUUUUAAUCGAUUUAUCGUUGCAGCUCUAAUGUGCGUACCCUUAACAAACCAGAUUUUUAAUGGACUGUCAAAAGAGGAAAAAGGAAAAGAGUCAAUAUAGGUUGUUUUUGUGUUUGGUUUGGUUUGUGGUCCAUUCCAAGUGCUGCUAACCAGGAGAACUGCCCUUAAUGUCGAAGGUAAGCCUGAAUGGAUCUAUGUCACAAGGUGCAAGAGAGCUCCACUCAGGGGAAAUGAGAGCAUGAAGGUGCCAAAAAGUGGUUCUGAUCGGAGGGAUGUUCCCAUGCAGCCAUGUUCCUCCUCCUUAGCGACGGCGGAGCUGAUCUCAUCCAGGAAUUACUAAACGAUAGGAUCACCUGAGUGUGAAGGCCCAGUUGAUCCUAAUACAAACAUGUAUCCUAAUCUUUCACACACUAAUCAGAGUGUUUUGACUAUAGCACCAGUGAAGGACUAGAGAAACCUUACAGAAGAAGUUUGUUACUGGACAUCAGGAGAUCGCAACGAGCAAAAAUUGUUAUGAUACUGCUAAUCUGGCUAUGCUGGUUAUUCGAUGGUACACUUCACAUCACAGCCAGCAACAGAAAUGACCGGCUGACUGUUGGGUAUGUCAACAAUUGCCAACUUCAACUCCAGUUCCAUUCUCCUUUGCAGAUUGGGACUGACUGAUUGGUUUGACUGGUAUGACUGGUUUUACUGGUUUGACUGGUAUGAUUUGGGUGUUUAGUUCAACUAAACUAACCAAAGUUGUUUCCAGGGUAUCACUUAGCUCCUUUCCAAGAGAGAAAGUGUCGCAGGUUAAUCUCUAUCCUCGAACUCACGCAAUUCACAAAAGGAUUGUGUGGCUUUUGUUGCAGCUAAACCUACACAAAUAAAAAAGACAAAGAAAUAGUUCUCAAAGCACCUGCUAAGCAAAUAGUGUCUCGGUGCUCCGGUGACAUUUGCAUUAAAAUAAGGUGCCGCAAAAUCGGGCCCUUUUCUAUGCAAAUGAGCCUCAUUGCAAAAACAAUCCAAUUCACAAAGAUUAGCUCUAGUAGCCACACACAGUUACUGUGAACCUUUUAGUGUCUUUAGAGAGUUGCUGGUCACUGAAGCACAUUUAUAAGGAGUGUCAAUUCAUGGAGCUAUCAGCGGCUGCAAUCCAUUCUUUGUGAAUUCACUCCUGAGUUUUCGCACCCAAUACAGAGGUUAUUUUCAACACGAUCAAACUGAUUCUUGAACAUAAUGAUUGCUCAUCUAAGACAAGCUCAGACCAAUGAGAAGCAACCAGUAUGGCUCUUUUGCUAAGAGUAAAUGCUUUAGUUGAGGUUGUUUUAUGGGCAAUAUGUCAUGUCUAUAAACUACAUAAAUGUAACCUUUACAUUACAGGUCAUCUAGCAGACACUCUUAUCCAGAGCUUACAGUGAACUAACUACAGGGACAGUCUUCCUGGAGCAACAGUCCUUGUCCAAGAGUACCUUGCUCAGAUGGCAAUGGUGGCAGCUCACAACCUUCUGGUGUUGUAUUUGGAAGCCGUACCACUAGACCACUAGGCCAUUACCAACAACCUUGCUUGAUUAUAACAUUUCUGUAAGCUGAGAUGAAAGAAAAUAAAUUGCUUCACACCCUUACAGUGCUAGAUGAUCAAGACUUAUUCUAGGAAUCAUUCUGUUUUUGCAUUAAGUUUUGACCCAACCACUGUACAGUUCAUACACAGUCCAAUAAUGCAAAAUUUAAGAAUAAUAAUUGUUUUGGUAACAUUUAUGUAACUUCUUCAUCGUCCAUUUCCAUGUGUGUAUAUGAUAUGCUGUAGCUGAUUUGGUCCAGGACACGGUGCAAGGCGUAGCUGUAUUGCAUAGCAAGUACAUGUAUUUGAUUCAUAGAAAUUAGGGAUGUCAGUUGAGCCGAUACUUCGGUACAAAGCCCAAGUAAAUACGAUUUUAACAACGUAACGCUUCCCUCAUACUCUUGUCACAGCAUAGGAAAGCACAAUGCUAUCGUACAACUUAGUACGGCUUGUUUUCUGUAACUAGUGUAGCACUAAAACAAAAUCAGCAAGCUGCCCGCUAGUUAGCUGCUACACUGGUUACAGAAAAUGAGCUGGACAGCAUGCUGGGGGCCAGCAGCAACACUGGUACCUUUGUACUACUCUAAUGACUACGGAAAACAGUUCAAUGUCCGUUCUACUCCUAAUUGAUUUGAUCCAAUAGGUGUCCUAAUUGUAUUAUUGGGGCCUUGGGAAUCCUCUAUAGAUUGCUACAGGAAUGAGUCUUAAACCCUUCUUUGGCUCUUAGUAAAUGGGUUUUUUGAAUGUGUUUUGGUUGGUUGGUGUUUGGUUGUGGCGCAUAUUAGUGACUGCAACUCUACAACUCAAGAACGAUUUAUGACCUCAUCCCCCUGUUUAUGGCAACUAUCUCAACAAUUUAUAAAUGGGAAGUUUUGUUUUGACAUGUUGAUUUUAUAGCAAUAAUGAAACUCUGGGGUUUGUGUGGCUGCCCCCCCGUCCUUUCUCCUGAUCCUCACAUAACCCCCCUGCUCCAUACUGACCUGUAUAGAUUUAAUGUUAUUUGCUGUGCAUAAAGAAUACAUAUGCAUAUAUAGAAAUGUAUAUCAAUACCUAUUUGUCAUAAUAAGGAGGUUGACAUCUAUGUCGGUGUAUAACUGUUUUUUGAUUUAACUCAUCAGGUGUUAUUCAGUGGUUGAUAUCAAGUUUGGCACCGUUCUGCAGCUGAGCCCAACAUUCAAAUAUUUAUUUAAGAGAAGUAUGUGAAGUAAGUGAUAUUAACUGAUGGGAGUGGUCAGCGGUUCACACCAGUGACAUCGGACCCCUGGACAGAAGUCUAUAAAACUACAAGCCACCCACAGAUCUCCCUCUUUCUGCUCGUCCUGCUUGUGCUGCUCAUCCUCUUCUGCCUUUGGUUCCCCAGGGCAACCUAGUGGGAUGCUGGGUUGCCAGCAUCUGUUGCACCCUUGUGCCGCCUGAAAGGACGCCUUCAGCUCUGCUGAAUCCCCAACGCACAAACGUGCUAAAGGUCUGCACCCGGAAACUCUUGAAAGAAAGAGACUGUGAGAAAAGACACUCUGAAUCUAACAAGGUCUGGCAAAGCUGCCACAACGACCCCCACUCCAUCCAAAGUGGGGAAGGGGGGGGGGGAUUGAUCUAGCGGCCUGCCGACAGAGAAAAGAUACCUUUAAGCCACGUGGGAGCUGACAAGGUCCAAAGAGCAGAGGUCCAAAAAAGAACCUUCUACCAACUCCCAGGAGCUUCUCAUCAGUCCAUCAGAACUGGGGAAACUAGGCUGGGAUAAUUAAGAAGACCAACAUUUUAAUCUUUUUCAAAUCAGAAUGAAUAUUUCAAUUGCUUCACAAUCUUUCCCAAGUGCUUAUUAAACUCUCAACUGCUGAACGGUGCAUUAAUCUAUUAAAAUUAAAGUAAAUUGGUAAACAUUCAACAAUCAUAUCAGUCACUAAUUCUACCUGGUCACACAUUCUCCACUUUCAUUCGUGAAUUGUUCAUUGUUGCAUUCAUUGUACUCAUUUAUCUACCAUUUAUUCUUCAUUUAUGUUUAUGUUUUGUCGUUCAGUUGUAUAGUUAGUAGUAGUAGUUCAAUAAACCUUUCAUUUAUAAAGAA